rnacentral:tRNA from 1 species
GUUUUAAUAGUUUAAAAAAAAACUUUGGUCUUGUAAACCAAAAAUGAAAAUAAUUUCUUAAAACU